rnacentral:rRNA from 1 species
UACGUAGGGUGCAAGCGUUGUCUGGAAUUAUUGGGCGUAAAGAGCUCGUAGGCGGUUUGUCGCGUCUGCCGUGAAAGUCCGGGGCUCAACUCCGGAUCUGCGGUGGGUACGGGCAGACUAGAGUGAUGUAGGGGAGACUGGAAUUCCUGGUGUAGCGGUGAAAUGCGCAGAUAUCAGGAGGAACACCGAUGGCGAAGGCAGGUCUCUGGGCAUUAACUGACGCUGAGGAGCGAAAGCAUGGGGAGCGAACAGG